rnacentral:lncRNA from 1 species
AUGCGACGUGAUGGGGUAUCGGUUCCAGACACAGGCGGCUGCGCCCCAGGAUUUCUUAUGUGCUCUAAAGACAAGGUGCAGGCUUCAGUGAAUGGGACGGAACUCGAUCUACUGGUGUUCCACUUACAGACUAAGGACUGUAAUCUGACCAACGCCAUUGGCUCUGAGGCUCUUCCCGUGAAUAUGACUGUAUUCCUGGUGGGAAUAAGAGAUGUUACAUACAUGCGUGCACUGAGCCCGAACGAUUGGUACAGCACCAGAGCCAGUUAUUAUAUAGCACGCAUGGCCAAGGCAUUAGAGAGACAGAAGAGGGACCUCUUAGGUGCCCUUGCCUUAGGGGCGAUCAUCUUCAAGGAGUUUCAAAUACAGGACUUAUAUGCUGAAAACAAGAUCCUGGCUUCACAAAUUGAUCAACAAGCACGAAUCCUGCAACAAGCCAUCGAAAGGCAGGCACGGAUAGAUCAACAACUGGAACUGCAAAUUCAGGCGCUAGCUGGAGUGACCCGUCAGCUUAGCAAUGAACUGCUCUGGCAAGAACUGUGGAGCCAGCUCUCUUGUGACGGAAGAUACACUACCGCAUGCGUGACCCCCUUUGAAGGCACGCUGUAAUGACACCACCAAGCAAUGACACUUGGAUAGCCCGAUGGUGCAAACACCAGGCAACUUUGAGUGCCAUUCAAUCCACUAAUGUGAUUUUGGAGAUACAGGCUUUACAAUGGCUGGUGGAACUGUCCAAGAAUGCCACAGCUCAAAUGCCUGACAGCUCUGACGACACCAUCCAAAAGAUUAUGGACUAGAUGGGACAUGUGUCCUCUCCAGUGGCUGGGUGGUUGGGUCACCUUAUAACCCUUGGUUUUGCAAUUGUUUUUCUCUUUUUCCUUCUGCCCUCCCUGCUCAUAUGCUUUGUGCAUUUGUUAAGAUUCAUCAGGUCAAAUCAGAGCUUUUAGUUCUACAACCAAGACCUUGAUGUACUUAAACAAAAAGGGGGAGUUGUUAGGGGCCACGUAGCCUUCCUCGGGAUGACGUGUCCAUUGGCAAUAUCCUGUUCUGCGAGGUCCAGCCCAGGGGCGGGGUAGAGGAGCCAUGACUGUGUGUGACAUAUCAUUCAAGAGGCGGCAGAGCUGUGGGCUUCUGCCACAUCUCCGUUAACUGCAGUGCAGUAUCACGUGGGUGUUCUCUCCUGCCCUGAAGGUGGUACCAAGCAAACUGGAUAAAAGGUCACACUCUUCCUCUCCUGCUCUCUCUCUCGGGCUCUCUCGGUCUUUUUCUCACUCUUGCUCCCGCUCACCUUCG